GAUGAACGCUGGCGGCGUGCCUAAUACAUGCAAGUCGAGCGAACGGACGAGAAGCUUGCUUCUCUGAUGUUAGCGGCGGACGGGUGAGUAACACGUGGAUAACCUACCUAUAAGACUGGGAUAACUUCGGGAAACCGGAGCUAAUACCGGAUAAUAUUUUGAACCGCAUGGUUCAAAAGUGAAAGACGGUCUUGCUGUCACUUAUAGAUGGAUCCGCGCUGCAUUAGCUAGUUGGUAAGGUAACGGCUUACCAAGGCAUCGAUGCAUAGCCGACCUGAGAGGGUGAUCGGCCAAACUGGAACUGGGGCACGGUCCAGACUCCUACGGGAGGCAGCAGUAGGGAAUCUUCCGCAAUGGGCGGAAGCCUGACGGAGCAACGCCGCGUGAGUGAUGAAGGUCUUCGGAUCGUAAAACUCUGUUAUUAGGGAAGAACAUAUGUGUAAGUAACUGUGCACAGCUUGACGGUACCUAAUCAGAAAGCCACGGCUAACUACGUG
rnacentral:rRNA from 1 species